UUAUCGGUUACCAAUCUUUGGAAGAUACCGAAUGAAUCUUUUUCAAAAACUUAAACAUUAGCAUUUGUUAUUUUCGCAAUAUAUCUCUCUGUAAAAGAUCCUUACCCCAGUAGUAUCUGCUAGCCCGCAGCAACUUCUCAACGUCUCUCUUUCCGUCUGAGUAGGCUGUAUAUAAGUAUACAUGCAUACGGUAAAUUCUAUAUGUAAAAAAUUUCAGAUCUUGGCUAUGAGUACAAUGAAGAGGCAGCCUUUUAGUUAAAGCAAGCUUCAGAAUUCACGUGCCUGUUGAAUCAGAAUUUGUUUCAUAAUAGCAGAUAAAGUACUUAACACACAUAUACAUUGCAUGCAUACAGUUUUAUCAGUAUCAGGAAUUCGCUCUUUUUCUCAUUCCAUUUUUGACUCUUCUCUGGGUUUUUCUGUUUUAUGGUACAUAUAAAUUAUUACACAUAGAGGAGUUUUUUUUUUUUUGGAAUGGAUAAAGGGUGUGGGUCUUCUACGACUGUAAUUAUCAUGGGGUUUCGUGAGAUGGGUAAGUGCUGGUUUAAUGUGGCUUUGAGUGGUGUGUUGUCUUUUGGGUUUUUGGUGAGUUUUGUGGUGGAGGGUUACCCAAUUAAGGAUCUGGUGGUGAAUUUGCCUGGCCAACCAAAAGUUGCGUUUAGGCAAUUUUCUGGGUACGUUGAUGUGGAUGUCAAGAAUGGGAGAAGCUUGUUUUACUAUUUCGUUGAGGCUGAUAAGGACCCUGACAAGAAACCCCUUACACUUUGGCUCAAUGGAGGUCCUGGUUGUUCCUCCAUUGGUGGAGGUGCAUUCACAGAAUUGGGCCCUUUUUAUCCUAAAGGGGAUGGUAGAGGCCUUCGAAGAAAUUCAAUGUCCUGGAACAGAGCAUCAAACCUCCUCUUUGUUGAGUCUCCUGCAGGAGUAGGAUGGUCAUACUCAAAUACAAGUACUGAUUACACUACAGGGGAUGCCAAAACUGCCAAGGAUAUGCAUAUGUUCUUAUUAAAAUGGUACGAGAAGUUCCCAGAAUUUAAAUCACGUGAACUAUUUCUUACAGGGGAGAGCUAUGCAGGGCAUUACAUUCCACAGCUGGCUGAGGUUCUUCUGGAUCAUAAUUCACAUUCAAAGGGUUUCAAGUUUAAUAUUAAAGGAGUUGCUAUUGGUAACCCACUCCUUAGACUUGAUCGGGAUAUUCCAGCAACAUAUGAAUUCUUUUGGUCUCAUGGGAUGAUCUCUGAUGAGAUUGGCCUCAAGGUCAUGAAUGAAUGUCAAUUUGAUGACUACAUCUUUGCAAAUCCACAUAAUGUAACAGAGUCAUGCAAUGAAGCCAUAGAGCAGGCAUAUAAUAUAGUUGGUGAAUACGUAAAUAAUUAUGAUGUGAUUCUGGACGUUUGUUAUCCAUCUAUAGUUCAGCAAGAAUUGCGAUUGAGGAAACUGGCAACCAAAUUAAGUGUCGGAGUUGAUGUGUGUAUGACCUAUGAAAGAGCUUUCUAUUUCAACCUGCCUGCUGUUCAGAAGGCUCUUCAUGCUAAUCGAACUAACUUACCAUAUAGAUGGACCAUGUGCAGUAGUGUUUUAGAUUACAGUGAUACCGAUGGUAAUGAGGACAUACUUCCCAUUCUCAAAAAGAUUAUUCAAAAUGAUAUUCCAGUUUGGGUGUUCAGUGAAUUAAUCAAUGCAGUGGUGAUCAAGAUUCUGUGGUACCCCUUUUGGGCUCAAGAACACUUGUCCGCGAACUAGCUCAUGAUCUAAACUUCAAGAUCACAGUCCCUUAUGGAGCUUGGUUUCACAAAGGCCAGGUUGGAGGUUGGGCAACAGAAUAUGGAAAUUUAUUGACUUUUGCCACAGUAAGGGGUGCUGCUCAUAUGGUACCUUAUGCACAGCCAUCGAGAGCUUUGCAUCUAUUCAGCUCGUUUGUGCGUGGCCGGAGAUUGCCUAAUAGGACACAUAUUUCGAUAGACGAUUAAGAAUUGUUCCAUCAUUUGUUACAGCAUGAUAAAGUUUCAUGUUCUUUAAUAUAUCACAAUUCUGAAAACAAUAAGAGGAAGUGAUAAGGGGGUCUCAAUCAAUAAUAAUAUUUGAAAGAGGAGGGAUUUUCAAUUUUAGUUAGGGAUUUUAUCUUGAUUUAGUUUCUGGUGCUUGUAUCUAAUUGAAAUGGGAAGAUCAUACUCAUAAUGGAUUUGAUAAGAGUUAAACUGUAGUUUCCAGUUUUCCAGUUUCAUAGUCUAGUUAAGAUAAUGUUUGAAUUGAACUGAAGGAUAGGAAGUUUCUGCUUUAGCUUCAAGAACAUCCUUUUCCAAGUUAUUAUUGAGUUUGUGCAUUUCAAGCU